rnacentral:rRNA from 1 species
UGGGGAAUUUUGGACAAUGGGCGAAAGCCUGAUCCAGCAAUGCCGCGUGCAGGAUGAAGGCCUUCGGGUUGUAAACUGCUUUUGUACGGAACGAAAAAGCUCCUUCUAAUACAGGGGGCCCAUGACGGUACCGUAAGAAUAAGCACCGGCUAACUACGUGCCAGCAGCCGCGGUAAUACGUAGGGUGCGAGCGUUAAUCGGAAUUACUGGGCGUAAAGCGUGCGCAGGCGGUUAUGUAAGACAGAUGUGAAAUCCCCGGGCUCAACCUGGGAACUGCAUUUGUGACUGCAUGGCUAGAGUACGGUAGAGGGGGAUGGAAUUCCGCGUGUAGCAGUGAAAUGCGUAGAUAU